rnacentral:rRNA from 1 species
UCGAGAAUCUUCGGCAAUGGGCGAAAGCCUGACCGAGCGACGCCGCGUGCGGGAUGAAGGCCCUCGGGUUGUAAACCGCUGUCGUUGGGGAGGAAAUGCAAAAGGGUUAUCCCUUCUGUUUGACCGAUCCAAGGAGGAAGUACGGGCUAAGUUCGUGCCAGCAGCCGCGGUAAGACGAACCGUACGAACGUUAUUCGGAAUUACUGGGCUUAAAGGGUGCGUAGGCUGCACGGAAAGUUGGGUGUGAAAGCCCUCAGCUCAACUGAGGAAUUGCAUCCAAAACUGCCGUGCUAGAGGGAGACAGAGGUGAGCGGAACUCAAGGUGGAGCGGUGAAAUGCGUUGAUAUCUUGAGGAACACCGGUGGCGAAAGCGGCUCACUGGGUCUCUUCUGACGCUGAGGCACGAAAGCUAAGGUAGCAAACGGG